CGAAUUCUGCAAAAGAUACAUGUCUUAAGGGCAUAUUUUCUUACCUUCAGUGCAGCCCUCAUUGCCCGUUCUGUCUACAAGGAGGUGGCGUGGAUGGGCGACAUGGCCAGCUGGAUUAGUGCAGGGAUUGUACUGACAGCCACAAGAAUGGGCCAGAGGGCUUCUACUACUUCUAUCCCACCUUCACUUAUUUCAGAAGGAGAGUUGAUGAUAGAAAUUUCUAAACCAAACUGGAAAGACCCACCGAUGCCCAAGUCAAGAGCCAGGGGUAAGACCUUCCAGCUGUUCAGCUGUCAGAAAGAAGCAGAAAAUAGGGUUGUUUGGGAAGAAGAUGUAUAAAGAAAGCUGACAAAUGAUAUGCAGCUGGAGGAGCUGGGUAAAGGGCACUGAUGAAAGCCAGUAUCAAGGGACUGGUGUAAACUAGAAUGGACUGGCCGAGAGUCUGAUAGCUAAUUUCACAAGACUUUUGUUCUGGCUGAGAUUUUAUUGGCUUGAGUAGUCAAGCAAUACCUUCUAAAUAAAUAAUAUUUGACCAUUCCCUCA
rnacentral:lncRNA from 1 species